ensembl:Mt_tRNA
AGCCCUGAAGUAUAUAUUACAUUAGAUUGCAAAUCUGAAGAAGCAGGCUAAAUACUUGCCGGGGCUU